rnacentral:misc_RNA from 1 species
CGUCUGCUGAAUCAGUUGUGGGG